rnacentral:rRNA from 1 species
UGGGGAAUCAUGGUCAACGGGCGAAAGCCUGAACCUGCGACGCCGCGUGAGUGAUGAAGGUCGUAAGAUCGUAAAACUCUUUUCAGGGAUCUUAAAGCCUGUCUGUCAACAACAGGCAGGUCUGACUCUCCCUGGAAGAAGCCCCAGCCAACUACGUGCCAGCAGCUGCGGUAAUACGUAGGGGGCGAGCGUUAUUCGGAAUUACUGGGUGUAAAGGGUAUGUAGGCGGCCCUUCAAGUCGCGUGUCAAAGUCCAGUGCUCAACGCUGGGUGUGCACGCGAUACUGACAGGCUUGAGGGCUGGAGAGGGGAGCGGAAUUCCCGGUGUAGUGGUAAAAUACGUAGAGAUCGGGAGGAACACCAGCGGCGCAGGCGGCUCACUAGACAGUUUCUGACGCUAAGGUACGAAAGCGUGGGGAGCAAACA